CGUGUCCCGCGUGGCCGCCAUGUUGGGUGCGGCACCGGCGCCUGGGGCCCUGCUAGGGCGCGGGGUGAGGCCGGGAGGACCCCGUCAGAGGCCGCUGACUUUUGGGCAAACAGCCUUGAGCAACGGAACGUAGAAAGGGCCCACAGCAACUACCUGACCCUGACUGAAUACGGACAGGCCUCAUCAGGUGACCCACCUCGAAAUACCCAGAGGCCCUAACCUGACCAAAGGGCUACUUACAACCAGGCACCCUUACCAAAAAAGGGAAAAUUCCAUACAUCCCCAUACCUCCUCACCUUCCUCUCUCUAAAAACAGCCCCCACCCACUCCCUCAUUGCCCACAGCCUCCCCUCUGCUGUCCUGCCUGCCGCUCCCUGUUGGAGCCUUCAAUAAACUUCUAUCUCCUUU